rnacentral:rRNA from 1 species
UACGUAGGGUGCGAGCGUUAAUCGGAAUCACUGGGCGUAAAGGGUGCGUAGGCGGGUCUUUAAGUCAGGGGUGAAAUCCUGGAGCUCAACUCCAGAACUGCCUUUGAUACUGAAGAUCUUGAGUUCGGGAGAGGUGAGUGGAACUGCGAGUGUAGAGGUGAAAUUCGUAGAUAUUCGCAAGGACACCAGUGGCGAAGGCGGCUCACUGGCCCGAUACUGACGCUGAGGCACGAAAGCGUGGGGAGCAAACAGG